UACGGGGGGGCAAGCGUUGUUCGGAAUUCCUGGGCGUAAAGGGUUCGUAGGUGGCUUGCUAAGUCAGACGUGAAAUCCCUCAGCUUAACUGGGGAACUGCGUCUGAGACUGGUGAGCUUGAGUGCAGGAGAGGAACGCGGAAUUCCAGGUGUAGCGGUGAAAUGCGUAGAUAUCUGGAGGAACACCGGUGGCGAAGGCGGCGUUCUGGACUGCUACUGACACUGAGGAACGAAAGCCAGGGGAGCAAACGGG
rnacentral:rRNA from 1 species